rnacentral:rRNA from 1 species
AUUGAACGCUGGCGGCAUGCUUUACACAUGCAAGUCGAACGGCAGCGCGGGCUUCGGCCUGGCGGCGGGUGGCGAACGGGUGAGUAAUGCAUCGGAACGUGCCCAGUAGUGGGGGAUAGCGCGGCGAAAGCCGGAUUAAUACCCCAUACGACCUGAGGGUGAAAGCGGGGGACCGGAAGGCCUCGCGCUCUUGGGGCGGCCGAUGUCCGAUUAGCUAGUUGGUGGGGUAAAGGCUUACCAAGGCGACGAUCCGUAGCUGGUCUGAGAGGACGACCAGCCACACUGGGACUGAGACACGGCCCAGACUCCUACGGGAGGCAGCAGUGGGGAAUUUUGGACAAUGGGGGCAACCCUGAUCCAGCCAUGCCGCGUGCGGGAAGAAGGCCUUCGGGUUGUAAAGCGCUUUUGUUCGGGAAGAAAUCCUCUGGGCUAAUACCCCGGGGGGAUGACGGUACCGGAAGAAUAAGCACCGGCUAACUACGUG